CUAGGAAUCUUGGGAAUGGGCGAAAGCCUGACCCAGCAACGCCGCGUGGGCGAUGAAGGCCUUCGGGUCGUAAAGCCCUUUUGUCAGGGGACGAUAAUGACGGUACCUUGCGAAUAAGCCACGGCUAACUACGUGCCAGCAGCCGCGGUAAUACGUAGGUGGCAAGCGUUGUCCGGAUUUACUGGGCGUAAAGGGCGUGCAGGCGGUUUGUUAAGUCUAGGGUGAAAGCUCCCGGCUCAACUGGGAGAGGUCCUUGGAUACUGGCGAACUUGAGGGAUGCAGAGGAAAGUGGAAUUCCCGGUGUAGUGGUGAUAUGCGUAGAUAUCGGGAGGAACACCAGUGGCGAAGGCGGCUUUCUGGGCAUUUCCUGACGCUGAGACGCGAAAGCGUGGGGAGCGAACCGGAUUAGAUACCCGGGUAGUCCACGCCGUAAACGAUGGACACUAGGUGUAGGGGGGUAUCGGACCCCCUCUGUGCCGUAGCUAACGCAAUAAGUGUCCCGCCUGGGGAGUACGGCCGCAAGGCU
rnacentral:rRNA from 1 species